GAUGAGCGCUAGCGGCAGGCCUAACACAUGCAAGUCGAGGGGUAACUAGAGUGAUAGCAAUAUUACUUUGGCUAGACCGGCGCACGGGUGCGUAACACGUAUGCAACCUACCUUAUACUGGGGAAUAACUUCGAGAAAUCGGCGCUAAUACCCCAUAACAUUGCGAAGAGGCAUCUCUUUGCAAUUAAAGCUCCGGCGGUAUAAGAUGGGCAUGCGUCCAAUUAGCUAGUUGGUGAGGUAACGGCUCACCAAGGCUACGAUAGGUAGGGGUUCUGAGAGGAUGAUCCCCCACACUGGUACUGAGACACGGACCAGACUCCUACGGGAGGCAGCAGUGAGGAAUAUUGCGCAAUGGACGAAAGUUUGACGCAGCCAUGCCGCGUGCAGGAUGACGGCCCUAUGGGUUGUAAACUGCUUUUGUACGGGAAUAAACCCUUCUACGUGUAGGAGGCUGAAGGUACCGUAAGGAUAAGCACCGGCUAACUCCGUGCCAGCAGCCGCGGUAAGAC
rnacentral:rRNA from 1 species